rnacentral:lncRNA from 1 species
GAGGCCUGUGUUAGUGACAGCUGGCCUGCCACAGCACCUCUUUGUUGCUUCAUCUGUGACCGAAGAGGACGAGUGAGGAGUAGGACCCUUGCGAAGGUUUUAGAUGCAAGCUUAGGAGGAUGAGGGGCGCUGUCCGAGGUCUGAGAGGCAGCCCGCACCCUUUGCCUCUGAAAUAACUACUUUUUGGAGGUGCCAGAGGAGAGAAUCGGUGGAGCGCCCUCCUGGAGUGGGAUCACAGCACCACCCAAGCCUAGAAUCGUCAUCUUCUGGAUCCACUCUCCAUCCUUCUCUACUCUGUCUGUGCUGUGGGAGGCUGACCCCAUCUGUUUACUUCAGUGGAGCACUAGAGCCUGCAAGAACUGAUUGUAUGCAUCUCCUCCUAACUCCGUGUUUGGUGACUGUGGUAGGAAUAUUUACACUAUGGACACUGGCAAAUACUACAAGUGAUGGAGUGGUCCUAAAAUGCAGCAUCAGCAUCUCCUUGGAGAAGUUUAUGCCCAGAACCCAAACAACUUUGUCUGGAAUAUUAGACACUGUGUACUCUUUGGCUCACUGUUGGGCCAAAUUGCGUCCCUUCCUCCACCAAAGGAAAAAAAAGAAGAGGAAGUUUGGACACAGGCAAGCACACGGGGAGAGUGCCAUUUAAACGUGAAGACGGGCAACAACCCAAAUGAGAGGUAACCUGUGUUUUGGGCUGAAUUGUGCCCCCCUCCAGCUCCCCUCAACCUAAAUUCAUGUACUAAAGUCUAACUCCCAUUACUUCAGAAUGUGAUUGUAUUUGGAGAUGGAGCCUUUGAAGAUGUGAUGGAGGUAAAUUGAGCCACCAGGAUGUGCCCUAAUCCAAUCUGACUGUGCUUACAAGAAGAGGAAAUUUAGAAACAUAGAGAAACACCAGGGAUACAGGCACAGAGAAAGGACCGUGGGAGGACACAGCAAGAGGGCGGCCAUCUGCAAACCAGGGAGCAAGGCCUUAGAGGAAACCAGCCCUGCAGGCACCUUGAUCUUGGACUUCCAGCCUCCAGAACUGUGAGAAAACACAUUUCUGUUGUUUAAGCUGCCCUGUCUGUAGUAUUUUGCUAUGAAAGCCCUAGACAACUAAGAUAACAGCUGAGACCAAAGAGUUAUGCUGAGGCAAAAUGUAAUUUUUUUAAAAGAAUGAAAAUGUUACAAAGGAUUUUCACUUAGCAAGGGUAACAGGAAUAAUAUUUUGAAUUAUUGAAUGGAUGCGUUUUUCAUACCCCCGUAAAUCCUGUUCUUCCACAGCCUUCCGCCAUUAGGGCUAAGCCAUAAACUGCAGGGUGGGUGAGGAUGGGCAGUGCCUGGAAUAAAAAGGUCAUUGAUGGCUUUGGUUUGCAAAGCUGACUUCAUUGACUCCAUAUUGAAAUAACAGUUUUGAAAUGCAGACUUUAUGGGGAGAGAUAAUGUUUAUUUUCUGAAUUUUAAA